rnacentral:rRNA from 1 species
CCUACGGGAGGCAGCAGUGGGGAAUAUUGCACAAUGGGGGAAACCCUGAUGCAGCGACGCCGCGUGAAGGAAGAAGUAUCUCGGUAUGAAAACUUCUAUCAGCAGGGAAGAAAAUGACGGUACCUGACUAAGAAGCCCCGGCCAACUACGUGCCAGCAGCCGCGGUAAUACGUAGGGGGCAAGCGUUAUCCGGAUUUACUGGGUGUAAAGGGAGCGUAGACGGAUGGGCAAGUCUGGAGUGAAAGCCCGGGGCUCAACCCCGGGACUGCUUUGGAAACUGUCCGUCUUGAGUGCCGGAGAGGUAAGCGGAAUUCCUAGUGUAGCGGUGAAAUGCGUAGAUAUUAGGAGGAACACCAGUGGCGAAGGCGGCGUACUGGACGGUAACUGACGUUGAGGCUCGAAAGCGUGGGGAGCAAACAGGAUUAGAUACCCCUGUAGUC